UACAGAGGUCUCAAGCGUUGUUCGGAUUCAUUGGGCGUAAAGGGUGCGUAGGCGGCGCGGUAAGUCGGGUGUGAAAUCUCGGAGCUUAACUCCGAAACUGCAUUCGAUACUGCCGUGCUUGAGGACUGGAGAGGAGACUGGAAUUUACGGUGUAGCGGUGAAAUGCGUAGAUAUCGGGAGGAACAUCAGUGGCGAAGGCGGCUACCUGGCCCAAUACUGACACUCAGGUGCGACAGCGUGGGGAGCAAACAGG
rnacentral:rRNA from 1 species